rnacentral:rRNA from 1 species
GGCAGCGAAGCCGUGAGGCGGAGCCAAUCCCNGAAAACCGAUCGUAGUCCGGAUUGCAGUCUGCAACUCGACUGCAUGAAGUCGGAAUCGCUAGUAAUCGCGGAUCAGCAUGCCGCGGUGAAUACGUUCCCGGGUCUUGUACACACCGCCCGUCAAACAAUGGGAGUGGUGUUUACCAGAAGUCGUUAGCCUAACCGCAAGGAGGGCGGCGACCACGGUGAGCACCGUGACUAAUGUUAAGUCGUAACAAGGUACC